AGGAAGUCACCUCCCUGACACCCAGUGCCGUGAAGAUCAAGAUCAUCACAUCCCCAAGAGCGCAAGUGCUCUGUGUGGAUUGGAGGCUCCAUCCUGGCCUCACUGUCCACCUUCCAGCAGAUGUGGAUUAGCAAGCAGGAGUACAACAAGUCAGGCUCCUCCAUCAUCCACCGCAAAUGCUUCUAAAUGGACGGUGAGCAGAUGCGUAGCAUUUGCUGCGUGGGUUAAUUCAGAAGUAUAAAUUUGCCCCUGGCAAAUGCAUAUACUUCAUGCUAGCCUUACAAAAUAGGAAUAAGCCUUUGAAAAUAAAUUGUCCUUGAAGCUUGUAUCUGAUAUCAGCACUGGAUUAUAGAAUGUGUUGCUGAUUUCGACCUUGUAUUCAAGUUAACUGUUCCUUUUGGUAUUUGUACAUAUCUUUGAUUUCAGCUCUUAGUAUGUGUGGGUUGGUCACUUUGUGGCUGAGGUAAGAAUGUGCAUAUAGAAGACAAGUCUGUGGCUUGGUGGGUCUGUGUGGCCAGCAGCCUCCAAUCUGGGCAGGGUAUUAGUGUGUCAGGGCUGAGUGCUCUGGGAUUCUCUAGAGGCUGGCAAGGGCUCCUGAACCAGUGGUUUCUGUCCUGCCAGUCUGUCAGGGAAAAUCCAAGCCAUAGGACCCAGUUUCUUUUCUUAGCUGAUGUUUUCCUGCCAGAACACCAUGGGCUGUUACUUGCCUUGAGUUGGAAGCAGUUUGCAUUUACACCUGUAAGUGUAUUGAUCCUUUUAAUUUAUGUAAGGUUUUUUUUUUAUUGUACUACAGCU